GAUGAACGCUGGCGGCGUGCCUAAUACAUGCAAGUCGAGCGAACGGACGAGAAGCUUGCUUCUCUGAUGUUAGCGGCGGACGGGUGAGUAACACGUGGAUAACCUACCUAUAAGACUGGGAUAACUUCGGGAAACCGGAGCUAAUACCGGAUAAUAUUUUGAACCGCAUGGUUCAAAAGUGAAAGACGGUCUUGCUGUCACUUAUAGAUGGAUCCGCGCUGCAUUAGCUAGUUGGUAAGGUAACGGCUUACCAAGGCAACGAUGCAUAGCCGACCUGAGAGGGUGAUCGGCCACACUGGAACUGAGACACGGUCCAGACUCCUACGGGAGGCAGCAGUAGGGAAUCUUCCGCAAUGGGCGAAAGCCUGACGGAGCAACGCCGCGUGAGUGAUGAAGGUCUUCGGAUCGUAAAACUCUGUUAUUAGGGAAGAACAUAUGUGUAAGUAACUGUGCACAUCUUGACGGUACCUAAUCAGAAAGCCACGGCUAACUACGUGCCAGCAGCCGCGGUAAUACGUAGGUGGCAAGCGUUAUCCGGAAUUAUUGGGCGUAAAGCGCGCGUAGGCGGUUUUUUAAGUCUGAUGUGAAAGCCCACGGCUCAACCGUGGAGGGUCAUUGGAAACUGGAAAACUUGAGUGCAGAAGAGGAAAGUGGAAUUCCAUGUGUAGCGGUGAAAUGCGCAGAGAUAUGGAGGAACACCAGUGGCGAAGGCGACUUUCUGGUCUGUAACUGACGCUGAUGUGCGAAAGCGUGGGGAUCAAACAGGAUUAGAUACCCUGGUAGUCCACGCCGUAAACGAUGAGUGCUAAGUGUUAGGGGGUUUCCGCCCCUUAGUGCUGCAGCUAACGCAUUAAGCACUCCGCCUGGGGAGUACGACCGCAAGGUUGAAACUCAAAGGAAUUGACGGGGACCCGCACAAGCGGUGGAGCAUGUGGUUUAAUUCGAAGCAACGCGAAGAACCUUACCAAAUCUUGACAUCCUUUGACAACUCUAGAGAUAGAGCCUUCCCCUUCGGGGGACAAAGUGACAGGUGGUGCAUGGUUGUCGUCAGCUCGUGUAGUGAGAUGUUGGGUUAAGUCCCGCAACGAGCGCAACCCUUAAGCUUAGUUGCCAUCAUUAAGUUGGGCACUCUAAGUUGACUGCCGGUGACAAACCGGAGGAAGGUGGGGAUGACGUCAAAUCAUCAUGCCCCUUAUGAUUUGGGCUACACACGUGCUACAAUGGACAAUACAAAGGGCAGCGAAACCGCGAGGUCAAGCAAAUCCCAUAAAGUUGUUCUCAGUUCGGAUUGUAGUCUGCAACUCGACUACAUGAAGCUGGAAUCGCUAGUAAUCGUAGAUCAGCAUGCUACGGUGAAUACGUUCCCGGGUCU
rnacentral:rRNA from 1 species